rnacentral:misc_RNA from 1 species
AAGUCGUAACAAGGUUUCCGUAGGUGAACCUGCGGAAGGAUCAUCAUUGUAGGAGUGAGGUCCCUUUUUUUGAGGCCGAACAACCUUUUUAGAGACCCAGCAAACAGACAGCAAGGGGGAGCAAUUGGCUGAGAUAGGAAGCGGAGGGAAACAGGAAACAACUUUCAACAACGGAUCUCUUGGCUCUCA